rnacentral:ncRNA from 1 species
GCGCCGGAUGCAGGAGAGUGGUGCCACGCUGGCACCCGCCGAAGGCGCAGGCUCCCAUGAUCGCUCAGGCCGGUGGAAUGGCAUUCCACCA